AUUCUGGGUUGCGUCAAGAGAAGCAUGACCAGCAGGUCAAGGGAGGAGAUCUGCUCCUCUGCUCAGCUUUCAUGAGACACCACCUGGAGUAUUGUGUCCAGCUCUGGAGCCCCCAACACAACAAGGGCAUAGAGUUGUUGGAGCAGGUCCAGAGGACAAAAGAUAAUCAGACAGCUGGAGCACCUUCCCCUUACAGGACAGGCUGAGAGAUCUGGGGCUUGUCAGCCUGGAGAAGAGAAGGCUUCAAGGAGACAUUAUAGUGGCCUUUCACUACCUGAAGGGGACCUACAGGAAAGCAGGAGAGGGACAUUUUAGAAGGAUGUAUAGAGACAGGAUGAGGGGAAAUGGCUUUAGAUUGGAAGAGGGUAGAUUCAGACUAGACAUUAGGAAAUUUUUUACUGUGAGAGUAGUGAGACACUGUAACAGUUUGCCUGGUGAGACAGUGGAUGCCCUCUCCUUGGAGGCAUUCAAGGCCAGGCUGGAUGGGGCUUUGAGCAACCUAUUCUAGUGGGAGGAGUCCCUACCUAUAGCAGAGGGCUUGAAACUAGAUCAUCUUAAAGGACCCUUCCAACACAAACCAUUCUAUGAUUAGAUAAUUCUAUGAUUCACUGAAACAUGCCUUAUCCAUUAAAAUCUUCUGUGAUAGUGCAGUAUAUAUGCCAGUUUUACAGUUAGGUGGCUUUAGUACAACUUUAAUUCCUCAAAUAUUUUAUAGCAUAUUCACUUGAUGCAUAUAUUGCGGACUCUUCCAAAUACCAUCUCUCAUUUUCUAGAAUUUGCAAAUAAAUACUUUUUUGGGCUUUUGGUAGAAUAUACAUACACUUUACAAGUGCAUGUGUGAAAUUAUUUAUGUAAGAAGAGUAUUUAUUUAGGAAAUUUUGACUCUAAUUUUGACAAGAGUUAGGUACACAGUUAAACAAUUAAUUUAACUAACUCUCCUGUAACGUUCUGUAUAUGUUAAAUAUUCUGUUUCUAUUAGGUGUCUGUUAUACAAGUCAGAACUGCUACUAUAGUUACAAAUUUACAAUAUUAGGAAAUGGAACAGAAAGUUAAAAGAGAAAAUGCCACAACUCACAUACUGCUAAGAGUACUCUAAUGACCAUAUCAUCUUGUAUUUUUUAACAUGCUGUGAAUUCAUACUUUUCAUAUUAUCCGUGUAUUUAUAGACUACAGAAAAAGGAAAAUGUAAGAUUAAUAUACGUGCUAUUUCAAUCAUUUAGCAAAUAGAAUUUACCAUAUAAUUUCCUUUGCUAUCACUGUUACCAUCAUUAUCAGAAUGUACUGCUGUACCUUAGACAUUCUGAAAUUAUCAAGCCACUUUUACAUACCAGAUAAUGUUUCGUAUAAAACAUAAUAUUGUUAGUUAUGUCUGUUCUUCCUUUUAAACUAUGAAAACAUAAAACUAUAAU
rnacentral:lncRNA from 1 species